rnacentral:tRNA from 10 species
GCGGAAGUGCUGGAAUUGGCAGACAGGCUAGAUUCAGGUUCUAGUUCGGAUUUCCGAGUGAGGGUUCAAGUCCCUUCUUCCGCA